rfam:Agrilus planipennis Contig23629, whole genome shotgun sequence.
ACCUUAUGAUGAUGAUGAAAUGGUUAAGGAUGUGGGUUUCUCUAGUUUAACGGCUGAAGAGGACCUUAAUUGGUCCUAGAACGGCCUGAGGUAGAGGGGUUUUAGUCGGUAGGUCCGAGGACUUCUUCCUCGGGAAUCCGACACUACCCAGUCGUACGGACGACUGGGUGUCUUUUGAAGAUUUCUCCUCUUCCACGAAA